rnacentral:rRNA from 1 species
UACGGAGGGUGCAAGCGUUAGUCGGAAUUACUGGGCGUAAAGGGUGCGUAGGCGGGGAUGUAAGUCAGAUGUGAAAUACCGAAGCUCAACUUCGGCUGUGCAUCUGAAACUGCGUUUCUAGAGGAAGAGCGGAGAAAACGGAAUUCCACGUGUAGCGGUGAAAUGCGUAGAUAUGUGGAAGAACACCUGUGGCGAAAGCGGUUUUCUAGCUUAUACCUGACGCUGAUGCGCGAAAGUAAGGGGAUCAAACAGG